UACGAAGGGGGCUAGCGUUGCUCGGAAUCACUGGGCGUAAAGGGUGCGUAGGCGGGUUUUUAAGUCAGGGGUGAAAUCCUGGAGCUCAACUCCAGAACUGCCUUUGAUACUGAAGAUCUCGAGUCCGGGAGAGGUGAGUGGAACUGCGAGUGUAGAGGUGAAAUUCGUAGAUAUUCGCAAGAACACCAGUGGCGAAGGCGGCUCACUGGCCCUGUACUGACGCUGAGGCACGAAAGCGUGGGGAGCAAACAGG
rnacentral:rRNA from 1 species